rnacentral:rRNA from 1 species
AUCGGAACGUGCCCAAUCGUGGGGGAUAACGCAGCGAAAGCUGUGCUAAUACCGCAUACGAUCUACGGAUGAAAGCAGGGGACCGCAAGGCCUUGCGCGAGUGGAGCGGCCGAUGGCAGAUUAGGUAGUUGGUGAGGUAAAGGCUCACCAAGCCUUCGAUCUGUAGCUGGUCUGAGAGGACGACCAGCCACACUGGGACUGAGACACGGCCCAGACUCCUACGGGAGGCAGCAGUGGGGAAUUUUGGACAAUGGGCGAAAGCCUGAUCCAGCAAUGCCGCGUGCAGGAUGAAGGCCUUCGGGUUGUAAACUGCUUUUGUACGGAACGAAACGGCUCUUUCUAAUAAAGAGGGCUAAUGACGGUACCGUAAGAAUAAGCACCGGCUAACUACGUGCCAGCAGCCGCGGUAAUACGUAGGGUGCAAGCGUUAAUC